rnacentral:rRNA from 1 species
AUGAACGCUGGCGGCGUGCCUAAUCCAUGCACGUCGAGCGAACGGACGAGAAGCUUGCUUCUCUGAUGUUAGCGGCGGACGGGUGAGUAACACGUGGAUAACCUACCUAUAAGACUGGGAUAACUUCGGGAAACCGGAGCUAAUACCGGAUGAUAUUUUGAACCGCAUGGUUCAAAAGUGAAAGACGGUCUUGCUGUCACUUAUAGAUGGAUCCGCGCUGCAUUAGCUAGUUGGUAAGGUAACGGCUUACCAAGGCAACGAUGCAUAGCCGACCUGAGAGGGUGAUCGGCCACACUGGAACUGAGACACGGUCCAGACUCCUACGGGAGGCAGCAGUAGGGAAUCUUCCGCAAUGGGCGAAAGCCUGACGGAGCAACGCCGCGUGAGUGAUGAAGGUCUUCGGAUCGUAAAACUCUGUUAUUAGGGAAGAACAUAUGUGUAAGUAACUGUGCACAUCUGGACGGUACCUAAUCAGAAAGCCACGGCUAACUACGU